CAUCACAAACCUAAAGGAUUACAGGGAAAGGAUUUUUGAGCUGCUUCAGGAGAUCACCUACCUAGAUUGAUUUGAUCAGGAAGAAGGGGAUGAGGAGGAUGAAGCAGAUGAAGAUGAAGCUGGUCCACCAGGAGAGUACAAAGAAGACGAAGAUGAAAAUGAUGGAGGUUCAGAUUUGGGGAGAGUGAAGAGGAGGAAGGAGCUGGCCUUUCAUACCUGAUGACGGACAAGAUCCAGGUAGGACUUACCCUAUUCUACAAUAAGGCUCAGGAUUUUCUUGACACUGUCUAGCUAUAAAUGUGUAAUAAGUUAAACUUGUAUAAGCAGAAUCAUGUAAAUCCACUAUCAUACAUGAGCAAUAGAGUACUUUAGAGAGACACCUUUUACUAUCAAAAAAGUGCGUUACAGUAGGGGAACCACCGCUGUUUGGUAUUCUCCGUUAUCUUGCUCAAAAUGAAAUGCUUCACGAUUCAUUA